AAGGGUGUAGUUCAACAGGUAGAAUAGCGCAUUCCAAAUGCGUUGGUUGCAAGUUCAAGUCUUGCCGCCCUUGA
rnacentral:tRNA from 1 species